GACGAACGCUGGCGGCGCGCCUAACACAUGCAAGUCGAACGAGCGAGAGAGAGCUUGCUUUCUCGAGCGAGUGGCGAACGGGUGAGUAACGCGUGAGGAACCUGCCUCAAAGAGGGGGACAACAGUAGGAAACGACUGCUAAUACCGCAUACGCCCACGGCACGGCAUGGGGCAGGGGGAAAAGGAGGAAUGCGCUUUGAGAUGGCCCCGCGUACGAUGAGGUAGUUGGAGGGGUAAAGGACCACCAAGGCGACGAUCGGUACCCGGACUGAGAGCGUGAACGGCCACAUUGGGACUGAGACACGGCCCAGACUCCUACGGGAGGCAGCAGUGGUUAAUAUUGCACCAUGGGGCUAACCCUGAUGCAGCGCCGCCGCGUGGAGGAAGAAGGUCUUCUGAUUGUAAACUCCUGUUGUUGGGGAAGAUAAUGACGGUACCCAACAAGGAAGUGACGGCUAACUACGUG
rnacentral:rRNA from 1 species